CCUGGGCGGUGCUACCUCCUAGCCUGGGCGGUUGCACCUCUUUCACUAUUUCAGCUCACUUGGUUUGGCUCCAAACUUGGUCCAAACCAGUCCGAACUUGGGCCUAAUUGGCCCAUACUUGGGUUAUAGGAUUAACACCUAAUCCUAACCCUAAUUAACGUGCUAACUAUGAUUUUAAAGACAUUUUCUAAGCUAUUACAAAGUCCGCAAGUCAAGACUUCUUCUAGCGAGCUUUCGGCAAACUUCCGGCGGUCUUCCGAUGAACUCUCGGAAACCAUUCUGCGGACUCCUGGCAAGCUCCUAGACUUCACGAUGUGAUCUUAGCGAGUUCCAACGAGCUUCUUCGGCAAGCUCCGAUCUUUCUUGGCGAGCUGUGCGAACUCCCAACGAACCUUCAGACUUCCGUCGAACUCUCGAACUCGCAACAAAUCCUUCGCGCUUGACUCCGACACUUUGUUUCGCUUUAUGUCUUCAUCGUUAUCAUAGUUAAUCCUGCACAAUUAAAACAAAACUUCGAUCGAGACAAUUAAUCCUAAGCGAUUAACCAAGUUGUCCGGCAUGUCAUUGGUCCCUCGACGCUUCGUCCGAUUCUUCGGCGCAUCGUCCUUUCCUGCG
rnacentral:lncRNA from 1 species